rnacentral:misc_RNA from 1 species
UAAUAAGUGUUUUAUGGCACUUUUUAAAUCCAUAUCCACCUUGUGUGCAAUGUCAGUCGAUCUUCUUCAUGGAGAUCGACCAAACAUCAACCUUUAUCUUUUAACUCUUUGUCUGAAAAAUAUUAUUGAAUAAAAAAACAAUUCAAAAUA